AUCCAGCUGACGAGUCCCAAGGACGAAACACGAGUCCUGGAU
rnacentral:hammerhead_ribozyme from 1 species